GACGAACGCUGGCGGCGUGCUUAACACAUGCAAGUCGAACGGUAAGGCCCUUCGGGGUACACGAGUGGCGAACGGGUGAGUAACACGUGGGUGAUCUGCCCUGCACUUCGGGAUAAGCCUGGGAAACUGGGUCUAAUACCGGAUAGGACCAUGGACUUCACGGUUUGUGGUGGAAAGCUUUUGCGGUGUGGGAUGGGCCCGCGGCCUAUCAGCUUGUUGGUGGGGUAAUGGCCUACCAAGGCGACGACGGGUAGCCGGCCUGAGAGGGUGUCCGGCCACACUGGGACUGAGAUACGGCCCAGACUCCUACGGGAGGCAGCAGUGGGGAAUAUUGCACAAUGGGCGCAAGCCUGAUGCAGCGACGCCGCGUGA
rnacentral:rRNA from 1 species